rnacentral:rRNA from 1 species
AGAGUUUGAUCAUGGCUCAGAUUGAACGCUGGCGGCAGGCCUAACACAUGCAAGUCGAGCGGUAGCACAGAGAGCUUGCUCUCGGGUGACGAGCGGCGGACGGGUGAGUAAUGUCUGGGAAACUGCCUGAUGGAGGGGGAUAACUACUGGAAACGGUAGCUAAUACCGCAUAACGUCGCAAGACCAAAGUGGGGGACCUUCGGGCCUCAUGCCAUCAGAUGUGCCCAGAUGGGAUUAGCUAGUAGGUGGGGUAACGGCUCACCUAGGCGACGAUCCCUAGCUGGUCUGAGAGGAUGACCAGCCACACUGGAACUGAGACACGGUCCAGACUCCUACGGGAGGCAGCAGUGGGGAAUAUUGCACAAUGGGCGCAAGCCUGAUGCAGCCAUGCCGCGUGUGUGAAGAAGGCCUUCGGGUUGUAAAGCACUUUCAGUGGGGAGGAAGGCGUUAAGGUUAAUAACCUUGGCGAUUGACGUUACCCGCAGAAGAAGCACCGGCUAACUCCGUGCCAGCAGCCGCGGUAAUACGGAGGGUGCAAGCGUUAAUCGGAAUUACUGGGCGUAAAGCGCACGCAGGCGGUCUGUCAAGUCGGAUGUGAAAUCCCCGGGCUUAACCUGGGAACUGCAUUCGAAACUGGCAGGCUAGAGUCUUGUAGAGGGGGGUAGAAUUCCAGGUGUAGCGGUGAAAUGCGUAGAGAUCUGGAGGAAUACCGGUGGCGAAGGCGGCCCCCCUGGACAAAGACUGACGCUCAGGUGCGAAAGCGUGGGGAGGCAAACAGGAUUAGAUACCCUGGUAGUCCACGCCGUAAACGAUGUCGAUUUGGAGGUUGUGCCCUUGAGGCGUGGCUUCCGGAGCUAACGCGUUAAAUCGACCGCCUGGGGAGUACGGCCGCAAGGUUAAAACUCAAAUGAAUUGACGGGGCCCGCACAAGCGGUGGAGCAUGUGGUUUAAUUCGAUGCCAACGCGAAGAACCUUACCUGGUCUUGACAUCCACAGAACUUUCCAGAGAUGGAUUGGUGCCUUCGGGAACUGUGAGACAGGUGCUGCAUGGCUGUCGUCAGCUCGUGUUGUGAAAUGUUGGGUUAAGUCCCGCAACGAGCGCAACCCUUAUCCUUUGUUGCCAGCCGGUCCGGCCGGGAACUCAAAGGAGACUGCCAGUGAUAAACUGGAGGAAGGUGGGGAUGACGUCAAGUCAUCAUGGCCCUUACGACCAGGGCUACACACGUGCUACAAUGGCAUAUACAAAGAGAAGCGACCUCGCGAGAGCAAGCGGACCUCAUAAAGUUAUGUCGUAGUCCGGAUUGGAGUCUGCAACUCGACUCCAUGAAGUCGGAAUCGCCUAGUAAUCGUAGAUCAGAAUGCUACGGUGAAUACGUUCCCGGGGCCUUGUACACACCGCCCGUCCACACCAUGGGAGUGGGUUGCAAAAGAAGUAGGUAGCUUAACCUUCGGGAGGGCGCUUACCACUUUGUGAUUCAUGACUGGGGUGAAGUCGUAACAAGGUAACCGUAGGGGAACCUGCGGUUGGAUCACCU